rnacentral:rRNA from 1 species
UACAGAGGUCUCAAGCGUUGUUUCGGAUUCAUUGGGCGUAAAGGUGCGUAGGCGGCGCGGUAAGUCGGGUGUGAAAUCUCGGAGCUUAACUCCGAAACUGCAUUCGAUACUGCCGUGCUUGAGGACUGGAGAGGAGACUGGAAUUCAUGGUGUAGCAGUGAAAUGCGUAGAGAUCAUGAGGAAGACCAGUGGCGAAGGCGGUCUCUGGACAGUUCCUGACACUGAGACACGAAGGCCAGGGAGCAAACGGG